CCUACGGGGGGCUGCAGUGAGGAAUAUUGGUCAAUGGACGAGAGUCUGAACCAGCCAAGUAGCGUGAAGGAUGACUGCCCUAUGGGUUGUAAACUUCUUUUAUAUGGGAAUAAAACGUUCCAAGUGUGGGAUUUUGUAUGUACCAUAUGAAUAAGGAUCGGCUAACUCCGUGCCAGCAGCCGCGGUAAUACGGAGGAUCCGAGCGUUAUCCGGAUUUAUUGGGUUUAAAGGGAGCGUAGGUGGAUUGUUAAGUCAGUUGUGAAAGUUUGCGGCUCAACCGUAAAAUUGCAGUUGAAACUGGCAGUCUUGAGUACAGUAGAGGUGGGCGGAAUUCGUGGUGUAGCGGUGAAAUGCUUAGAUAUCACGAAGAACUCCGAUUGCGAAGGCAGUUCACUGGACUGCAACUGACACUGAGGCUCGAAAGUGUGGGUAUCAAACAGGAUUAGAUACCCUUGUAGUC
rnacentral:rRNA from 1 species